UACGUAGGGUGCAAGCGUUAAUCGGAAUUACUGGGCGUAAAGCGUGCGCAGGCGGUUUUGUAAGUCUGUCGUGAAAGCCCCGGGCUCAACCUGGGGAAUUGCGAUGGAGACUGCAAGGCUUGAAUCUGGGCAGAGGGGGGUAGAAUUCCACGUGUAGCAGUGAAAAUGCGUAGAGAUGUGGAGGAACACCGAUGGGCGAAGGCAGCCCCCCUGGGGCUGAGAUUUGACGCUCAGGCACGAAAAGCGUGGGGGGAGCAAAACAGGG
rnacentral:rRNA from 1 species